rnacentral:lncRNA from 1 species
AAACACACCUUUCGGAAAGUCAAAUGUAUGUGUAUUGAAAAAGAGGAAGGCCGGGAAAAGACUAAGACGCGGCGUGGAUCUGCUCCCUUUUAUUUUGUGUUAGAAAGAUCAGAUUUUAUUCUCAGGAGAUCCAAUUUAUUAGGCUUUAAUUCAGAAUUACACAAUUUAUUGAAAUGUUUGUUGUGACAUAGAUUUUAAAUUUUCACUAACUUUGUUAAUCUCUAUUUGCUGACGUGCACAUUCAAAGUUGACAUGCAGAUAAAAAUAUUUCAAAACAACUUACGUACCCUUCAAAGUAAUCAUAUUUAAUUCUAAAACACAGUAUAAAGAAAAAAUAAAAAAAUAAAAAAAUUAUUCUCUCUCGGCCGGCCAGCUUCUCCCACCACUCAACUUCUUCACCUCCUACGCCUCUAUCCACUCCGUCCUCGUCCUCCGCUCCGUCCUGAUCGGAUUUCUUUCCGUCUUCGUAUCAGCCGGUAGGCCCUAUAAGACUCUCUACAUUUCCUCCUAC